rnacentral:rRNA from 1 species
GACAGAGGAUGCAAGCGUUAUCCGGAAUGAUUGGGCGUAAAGCGUCUGUAGGUGGCUUUUAAGUCCGCCGUCAAAUCCCAGGGCUCAACCCUGGACAGGCGGUGGAACUGCCAAGCUGGAGUACGGUAGGGGCAGAGGGAAUUCCGGUGGAGCGGUGAAAUGCGUAGAGAUCGGAAAGAACACCAACGGCGAAAGCACUCUGCUGGGCCGACACUGACACUGAGAGACGAAGCUAGGGGAGCGAAUGG